rnacentral:rRNA from 1 species
CGGACGGGUGAGUAAUGUCUGGGAAACUGCCCGAUGGAGGGGGAUAACUACUGGAAACGGUAGCUAAUACCGCAUAACGUCGCAAGACCAAAGAGGGGGACCUUCGGGCCUCUUGCCAUCGGAUGUGCCCAGAUGGGAUUAGCUAGUAGGUGGGGUAACGGCUCACCUAGGCGACGAUCCCUAGCUGGUCUGAGAGGAUGACCAGCCACACUGGAAUGAGACACGGUCCAG